GAUGAACGCUGGCGGCGUGCCUAAUACAUGCAAGUCGAGCGAACGGACGAGAAACUUGCUUCUCUGAUGUUAGCGGCGGACGGGUGAGUAACACGUGGAUAACCUACCUAUAAGACUGGGAUAACUUCGGGAAACCGGAGCUAAUACCGGAUGAUAUUUUGAACCGCAUGGUUCAAAAGUGAAAGACGGCCUUGCUGUCACUUAUAGAUGGAUCCGCGCUGCAUUAGCUAGUUGGUAAGGUAACGGCUUACCAAGGCAACGAUGCAUAGCCGACCUGAGAGGGUGAUCGGCCACCCGGGAACUGAGACACGGUCCAGACUCCUACGGGAGGCAGCAGUAGGGAAUCUUCCGCAAUGGGCGAAAGCCUGACGGAGCAACGCCGCGUGAGUGAUGAAGGUCUUCGGAUCGUAAAACUCUGUUAUUAGGGAAGAACAUAUGUGUAAGUAACUGUGCACAUCUUGACGGUACCUAAUCAGAAAGCCACGGCUAACUACGUG
rnacentral:rRNA from 1 species